rnacentral:rRNA from 1 species
GGACUACUAGGGUUUCUAAUCCUGUUUGCUCCCCUUGCUCUCGCGCCUCAGCGUCAGGCAUAAGCUAGAGAACCGCUUUCGCCACCGGUGUUCUUCCACAUAUCUACGCAUUUCACCGCUACACGUGGAAUUCCGUUCUCUCCGCCAAUCCUCGAGAUCUAUAGUUUCAAAUGCAGCUCCGAAGUUGAGCCUCGGAAUUUCACAUCUGACUUAUACAUCCGCCUACGCGCCCUUUACGCCCAAUAAUUCCGAUUAAUGCUUGCACCCUCCGUAUUACCGCGGCUGCUGGCAC